rnacentral:lncRNA from 1 species
ACACACUUCAGUUAGCGAGAACAGUUAGCCAGAAGUAGAACUGUAGAAGAAGUAGAACUUCUGUAGAAGCUGGUGAUGCUGUCUGCAUACUGACUUUUACAGCCCUGAUGGUCUGGUGCCCUGUUACAUUUCCCAAUGGUCUUUGUGAAUGACUUUUCAAAUCACGGGCUCGUUUUAGUUUAAGAUGCAGGGUUUUAUAUUAUUCUAUUCAGAAUGAGAACCAAAGGCCUAGUAAGUGCGAGUAACAGAGUAGUUAGCCAGAGAGAUCAGAGAACAGAGACUGGUACCAAUUAUUUUCCUAACCAUGGCAAAAGUUUUUAAAAAAUAUUCUUGAUCAAUUAGUAUAGAAACAACAGGUUUUCUCCAAAGCCAGAAAUAGUUUUUUGUUUGUUUUUUCCAAGACAGAGUUUCUCUGAGUAGCAUUGGCUGUCCUGGUCCUUGCUCUAUAGAUCAGGUUGGCCUGGGAUUCACAGAUCUGCCUGCCUCUGCCUCCAGAGUGCCAGGAUUAAAGGUAUUCGCCAACAAGUUGGUUUUUAUGUAUUUGUUUUGUUUUAUUAUCUCAAGAGAAGUACAUCUAAGCUUCUCCAAAUUUGUAGUAUCAUUCCUGUAAGGGAAACUUAUUUUUUUUCUCAACUUUUAUUCUUUGUGGAUUUUAUCUCGAACAUCUGAUCCCACUUACCUCCCAAUUCCUUGAUUCUGCCCUCUGUCCAUGCAACCUCCCCCACAAAAGUGAAAAGGAAAAUCAAAACAACAACAACAACAAAAGAAUUUCAUCACAGAAGCUGUAGUGUGGCCCACUGAGUCACACAGUUUACUCUUUAGUCCAGUCAUCUUAACUUGCUAUGAGUCAUUGAUCUGGUUCAAGGCCUUUGGCUUCUGCUAUACUAUCAUCUAUAAUGGUCUCUCUCUGGGUCUCCUCUUGGAUAUCCUGUUGUUGUCUGUGUCAUGGAGAUCCUGCAGUUUUGAAUCUGUAGUAGGUUUAUCCCCUCUCAUGCUCCAAUAGUUCAUGGAUGUUGGGGUGGGCCCACUCAUGGGCCUGGUUCUGGGCCUUAGUGGUAGCUGGGUUGGUCAGCCAGCUUUCCCUUAUCAUCACUACCAGCACGGUCUCAGCUAGCUCACCCAAUGCAGCCUGCAGCAGGUUCUCCUGCUCUCAGGUCUCCAGAUCUGGCCCACUCACGCUCAUACCAUCAGAGCCAGUUCUACUGUUUUGCCCAGGUGAGGGCCGUCUCUCCCUACUGCUGCAGGGGGCUCUAUAUGUGUGUGUGGGAGAACAGGGGUUGGAAGAAAGGGUUUAUUGCAGCCUACAGUUCUACAUCACAGUCCAUCCUCACUGAGGGAAGUCAGGCCUCAAGGCAGAAGCCAAAACAGAGGCCAUGGAGAAGUGCUGCUUUUACUGGCUUGCUUGGCCCUCCUGGUUUGCUUAACCUACCUUCUAAUAGCCCUAGGACCACCAGUCCAGGGGUGCCACUGGCCUCCUGGUGGCUGGGCCUUCCCACAUUCACCACUGAUUUUAAAAAUGCCCUACAGGCGUCCCUGAUGACCACCAAUCUUAUAGAAGCAGUUUCUCCAACCGAGGUUCCCUCCUCUCAGAUGACACAAACUGUGUCAAGUUGAUAUAAAGCUGGCUGGCUUUAAUCCUAGCAGCACCCCCGGGCUGCGGGGAGAUCACCAAGAGUUCAAGGCUGGCCUGAUGUGCUGGCUAGAUUUAAGUCAGCUUGACACAAGCUAGAGUCGCCAAAAGUGAGGGAACUUUGAGAAAAUACCUCUAUUAGAUCCCACUAUAAGGCAUUUUCUUUCUUUUUUUUUUUUUUAAGAUUUAUUACGUGUACAGUGUUCUGCCUUCAUGCCAGAAAAGGGCAACAGAUCUCAUUACAGAUGGUUAUGAGCCACCAUGUGGUUGCAGGGAAUUGAACUCAAGACCUCUGGAAGAGAAGCCAGCGCUCUUAACCCCUGAACCAUCUUUCCAGCCUCCCUCCCUUCUUUUCCUAGAGAGUUUCUCUGUAUAUCCCUAGCUGGCUGUCCUGGAGCUCUGUAGACCCACUGGCCUUGGAUUCACAGAGGUACAUAUUCCUCUGCCUCCCGAGCGCUGGGAUUAAAGGUGUGCGACACCACCGUCUGGCUGUAAGCCAUUUUCUUAAUUAGUGAUCGAUGAGGGGCCCAGCCCUCUCCUCCAUGGCCUCCGCAUCAGUGCAUCAGCUCUUGCCCUGCGUGAGUUCCUGUCCUGAGUUCCUUAGAGGUGGAAGCAUAAGCCGAAUAAACUCUUUCCUCCCCACAUUGCUUUGGUCACAGCAAAAGAAACCCUUACUAAAACAACUAGUCUACAUUAUCAAGAUCGUAAGCAAAUGCAAAAGCGAAAACCCCAAACAAAAUAAGUCAUUAAAGUAGAGAAGGUACUGGAUAUACGAGUCAGUUACUAAGAGCACUGGCUAUUUGUAGGGGGCCAGGGUUUGAUUUCCAAAACUCUACCCUCUUCCUGGCCCCUGAGAGCAUUGCAGCAACACCAUACACAGACAAUUGAUGUAUUGUUUCCUUUUCCAUACUGUCUCAGGGUUUUUACUGCUGCGAUGUAAAACAUUGUCAAAAGCAAGUUGGGGAGAAAAAGGCUUAAUUGACCUACAUUUCCACCUCGUAUUACACUACUUAAAAAAAAAAUAAAUCAGAGCAGAAACACCAACGGAGUACACUGUAGGAGCUGACACAAAAGAAAGCUUACACAAUUACAACGGGCAGAGUUCUCUGACACCGAUCACUGAGAAAACACUCUGGAAACAGCUUCCCUAAUUGAGAAUUCCAUCCAAGAAAACACAAAAAAGACCACAGACCCCAAGGUUACCUUUAGGUUUAUCGUCAUUUACAGCGUGUGCAUGCAGUCAGGACUGGAGACUUGACAAACAAAAAGUAGUCAACUUAUGUCUAUACUAAACCAAAUAUAUAGCGCUUACGCAGCGCCUACUGGAGGCUCUAAAGGAGAAACGUCUAUUUUUAAACCGCUAAAGUCAGGGGAGAGCGCGAACGCAGUCCCCCACUACCACAAAUUAUGCAGUCGAGUUUCCCGCAUUUGGGGAAAUCGCAGGGGUCAGCACAUCCGGAGUGCAAUGGAUAAGCCUCGCCCUGGGAAAACCACCUUCAUGAUCAUGGUAUCUCCCCUGCCAGGUAAGUAUGAGUUGCAGUUGC